rnacentral:rRNA from 1 species
AGUGAACGCUGGCGGCGUGCUUAACACAUGCAAGUCGAACGAGAACGGAUUAUAGCUUGCUAUAAUUGUCAGCUAAGUGGCGCACGGGUGAGUAAUGUAUAGGUAAUAUGCCUCUUACUAAGGGAUAACAAAUGGAAACGUUUGCUAAUACCUUAUACUCCUUAUUAACAGAAGUUAAUAAGGGAAAGAUUUAUUGGUAAGAGAUUAGCCUGUAUUGUAUCAGUUAGUUGGUGGGGUAAUGGCUUACCAAGACUAUGACACAUAACUGGUUUGAGAGGAUGAUCAGUCACACUGGAACUGAGACACGGUCCAGACUCCUACGGGAGGCAGCAGUGGGGAAUAUUGCACAAUGGACGAAAGUCUGAUGUAGCAACGCCGCGUGGAGGAUGACACAUUUCGGUGCGCAAACUCCUUUUAUAUGAGAAGAUAAUGACGGUAUUAUAUGAAUAAGCACCGGCUAACUCCGUGCCAGCAGCCGCCGUAA